AUGAACGCUGGCGGCGUGCCUCAUACAUGCCAGUCGCGCGAACAGACGAGGAGCUUGCUCCUCUGACGUUAGCGGCGGACGGGUGAGUAACACGUGGAUAACCUACCUAUAAGACUGGGAUAACUUCGGGAAACCGGAGCUAAUACCGGAUAAUAUAUUGAACCGCAUGGUUCCAUAGUGAAAGACGGUUUUGCUGUCACUUAUAGAUGGAUCCGCGCCGCAUUAGCUAGUUGGUAAGGUAACGGCUUACCAAGGCAACGAUGCGUAGCCGACCUGAGAGGGGAAUCGGCCAAACGGAAACGGAAAAAGGGCCCAACACCCAAGGGGGGGAAGCGGGAGGGAAUUUUCCGAAAGGGGGGAAACCAUAAGGGAGAAACGCGCGGGGGGGGAGGAAGUCUUUCGGAUGGAAAAACUCUUUUAUUGGGAAAAAAAAAAUGGGAAAGAAAAUAGGCAGUUUUGAACGGUACCUAAGAAAAAAGCCCGGGCUAAUUAGGG
rnacentral:rRNA from 1 species